rnacentral:rRNA from 1 species
AGAGCGAACGCUGGCGGCAGGCCUAACACAUGCAAGUCGAACGGACCCUUCGGGGUUAGUGGCGGACGGGUGAGUAACACGUGGGAACGUGCCUUUAGGUUCGGAAUAGCUCCUGGAAACGGGUGGUAAUGCCGAAUGUGCCCUUCGGGGGAAAGAUUUAUCGCCUUUAGAGCGGCCCGCGUCUGAUUAGCUUGUUGGUGAGGUAAUGGCUCACCAAGGCUACGAUCAGUAGCUGGUCUGAGAGGAUGACCAGCCACAUUGGGACUGAGACACGGCCCAAACUCCUACGGAAGGCAGCAGUGGGGAAUCUUGCGCAAUGGGCGAAAGCCUGACGCAGCCAUGCCGCGUGUAUGAUGAAGGUCUUAGGAUUGUAAAAUACUUUCACCGGUGAAGAUAAUGACUGUAGCCGGAGAAGAAGCCCCGGCUAACUUCGUGCCAGCAGCCGC